UUGAACGCUGGCGGCAUGCCUUACACAUGCGAAGUCCGAACGGCAGCACGGGAGCAAUCCUGGUGGCGAGUGGCGAACGGGUGAGUAAUAUAUCGGAACGUGCCCAGUCGUGGGGGGAUAACGUAGCGAAAGCUACGCUAAUACCGCAUACGAUCUAUGGAUGAAANCGGGGGAUCGCAAGACCUCGCGCGAUUGGAGCGGCCGAUAUCAGAUUAGGUAGUUGGUGAGGUAAAGGCUCACCAAGCCGACGAUCUGUAGCUGGUCUGAGAGGACGACCAGCCACACUGGGACUGAGACACGGCCCAGACUCCUACGGGAGGCAGCAGUGGGGAAUUUUGGACAAUGGGCGCAAGCCUGAUCCAGCAAUGCCGCGUGCAGGAUGAAGGCCUUCGGGUUGUAAACUGCUUUUGUACGGAACGAAACGGUGAGCUCUAAUACAGUUUGCUAAUGACGGCACCGUAAGAAUAAGCACCGGCUAACUACGUG
rnacentral:rRNA from 1 species